UCAGAUCUACACAGUAAUCAGAAGCUGGCAGUGCUGAAGGGAGCUCCUACAUCAAGCCUCACACAGCGAAGCAGAAAUCCAGAGGGCAAGGGCAGGUUGGAGAAAGUUCUAAUGGUGAGUCUCCAAUGCCACACACCAUGUGGAAGAUACCAGUAUGUGUUCCAAAGAGCAAUAGGAUGAGACUGAGCCACCAGCUAGAACUAUUCAUGAAAAGAUGUCAAGGAACCAUUAAAGAAACCAGAACCCAAGGUUGACAGGAGGCCUGGAGCCCCAAGAAGGAGCCAUGCAUGAAACGAAGGAUGAGGGAGGGCAGAGCAAGCCUCUAACUUCUUGCAGUGGUUGUCCCCAUUUUUAUACUGAGAACUUCUAGAAACAUGGAUGACCAGUCUUCCUUCUCUGCUAAUGAUGCAUCCCAGAGGAAAGGGGACAGACACAAAGCAGCACUUGCUAUGUAGCUCUUGCAUCUUGUCUAUCUUACUCACACACCGGAUCUUGCUGCAGUUCCACGUGAUGUCGAAGGAUGCAAAAUGGUAAUAAAACCAGAACAAAGUAAGAAAGAGAAAAAAGGAAAAGAGGAAGGGGAGUGUGAAGAUUUCCUGUUUUAAACAUUGCAUGCUGGGAAGCGAGAGACCUGCAGCUCGCUGUUUGAUGGCUCAUGGAGAAAAGAAAACAAGGGUGUUUGUCUGAUGUACUGGAAGUUUUU
rnacentral:lncRNA from 1 species